rnacentral:lncRNA from 1 species
AUGACGCUCAAUCUGAUAACCAAGAUAGCUACUAAGUGUCUAAUGGGCAGGAUAUACAGCAUGGAUACGCUGGACAAAGGGAUGAUUCAUGUCCCAGGCAGGACAGAGCAGGACAGUGUGAGAGUUCAUUACCCUACUCAGAACAGCACGCAAUUUGAAACUUAUUAAUUGUUUAUUUCUGGAAUUUUUUGUUUAACAUUUUUGGACCAGGGUUGACCACGGGUAACUGAAACUGCAGAUAAGGGGGGACUACUGUAUUUUUGACCUUGUGAAAGAAAUAGAAAAUUCCAUUUUUAUGUGCUAUAGCAUAGGAUUUAAUUCUUUAAGAUUUAUGAAGAAUUCUACCCAUGAAAAUAUUUGUUCUUGGCAGUUUUCAAAAGUGAUUAAUUUAAUUGCACAUUUUAAUUUUUAAUUGUUCUUUCCAUUUUUUUCCUGGCAUAUCUUUUUUUUUUCUUCUUUUGAAAGUACCAAUUUAAUCUAGAUUUUAAAUCUUAUUUCUGUUCCUAGAUGAUAGAGAUAUAUUGGUGGAUAAAUGAUGAUGUUUUCCAAAGAAAUAUAACCAGUUAUUGGCUUUCAAAUCCCACCCACGUGUUAGAAUUAAUCCUUUCCCAAGUUAGGUAAUUCUCUUGUGUCAAUAAUUGAUGAUUUGUUUUAUCCUACGAACAUGCUUAAAACUUUUUAAUUACUUGCAGAUAUUUUAAAAUCUUGGAGUUCUUGUAACUAACUACCUUUCUAGGUUCUCUUGCGAAUUUAGAUGACCCAGGAACCUCAGACCUACAUUUGUAACAAUCAAUGGGAGUAAUAACUUUAUAUAAGAUAUGUACAGGCAUACCUCAGAGAUAUUGUGGGUUCGGUCCAGACCUCUGCAGUAAAGUGAAUAUCACAAUAAAUUGAGUCACACAAAUUUUUCAUUUUCCAGUACAUAUAGAAGUUAUGCUUACACUAUACUGUAGUCUAUUAAGUGUACAGUAGCAUUAUGUCUAAAAAAAUGUACAUACCUUAAUUUAAAAAUACCUUAUUGCUAAAAACUGCUAACGAUCAUCUGAGUCUUCAGCGAAUUGUAAUCUUUUUGCAAUAGUAACAUCAAAGAUCACUGAUCACAGAUCACCAU